CCUACGGGAGGCUGCAGUGGGGCAUAUUGCACAAUGGGCGCAAGCCUGAUGCAGCCAUGCCGCGUGUGUGAAGAAGGCCUUCGGGUUGUAAAGCACUUUCAGCGGGGAGGAAGGCGGUGAGGUUAAUAACCUCAUCGAUUGACGUUACCCGCAGAAGAAGCACCGGCUAACUCCGUGCCAGCAGCCGCGGUAAUACGGAGGGUGCAAGCGUUAAUCGGAAUUACUGGGCGGAAAGCGCACGCAGGCGGUCUGUCAAGUCGGAUGUGAAAUCCCCGGGCUCAACCUGGGAACUGCAUUCGAAACUGGCAGGCUAGAGUCUUGUAGAGGGGGGUAGAAUUCCAGGUGUAGCGGUGAAAUGCGUAGAGAUCUGGAGGAAUACCGGUGGCGAAGGCGGCCCCCUGGACAAAGACUGACGCUCAGGUACGAAAGCGUGGGGAGCAAACAGGAUUAGAUACCCUUGUAGUC
rnacentral:rRNA from 1 species